GCUGUUUGUCAACAUGACGCGUGACGACAGUCACAACAACAACAACAACAACACGUGCCGAUUCUGCAGAUGAUUUAGUCUUCAAAGCUUUUACUGACACUUUGACAGCACAUCUUUCAGCUCAGCUGGAAACUAAACCGAGCGAUAAAACGAGUGUCACGCGACUCACCUUCUUGAAUCUUCAGAAUAAGUGAUGCAUUGUUCGUUGUAAACUCAUCCGGCUGAAGCAGAUCUCUGGAUGUGUGGACAGAUGUUGACUGUAAUGAUGGACAGUCUGUACAAAAGUAUAACUGCUGCAGGAGGAGACCGUACUGAUACUCGACUAGAUCUCUUGCUGGAAUACAGGAUGAACUUUUAUAUGACUUCGCAAUAAAGACAUUAAAGUAAGGUGUGUUUGUGAAUUUUGGAGUUGGGAUUUGAACCCAUGUCUCAUCCUCAGAGAACAUGUGUUUAUCCACUAUGGAGUCAAUGAUGUAAAUGAUGACAACUGUGUUACAGUUGUGCUUAACUUUUACUUUCUUGUGGUUAGGGUUUUGCAUCACAACUUCAGCACAGUGCAAAAAGAGUUUUCCAAAAAGAGUGCAUGAGAUCUGCAAACAGUGUCUAAACUGCCUGAACUUGAUUAGGGUUUUGCACACGUUUGCUGUUAUUUUUUGAUUUAUUGUGGUUAUAACUCGAGCUGGAGUUGGCCUUACAUUUUUAAUAGCAUUUAAUAAAUAGUUGAUUACCCCGUGAUUUACUAGAUGUUAAUUACCAAAAUGCCAAAUAACCUCUUUUGAUUAGCAAAAAAAAUAUUCUUAGAUCUGUAAAAUACAAAAUGUAUUUUUAAUAGAUUUUGGAAGUAUAACAGUAAAGUUGGGAUGCCAGUGCACUGUAAAAACACCAGAGGGCAGUGCAGAAUAUAUAACUGUAGUUUUUUCGCAUAGGAAAUCAAUAAAUAAUAAUCACCACUUUUCAGUCAAUUACUUAUCAAGUUUAUUGGUUAUUUACUACAGUAGGUGUUACUCUCUCCAGACACUCAUAUGGGUAGAUAAAAUAAGCCACAUAAAAUGUUAAAAGAAUGGCAAAAGCUUACAGGUACAUUCAAAGAGGCAAUUGAAUGUUAGUCGAAAAAAAA